GACGAACGCUGGCGGCGUGCUUAACACAUGCAAGUCGAACGGAAAGGCCCUGCUUUUGUGGGGUGCUCGAGCGGCGAACGGGUGAGUAACACGUGAGUAACCUGCCCUUGCCUUUGGGAUAACUUCAGGAAACUGGGGCUAAUACCGGAUAGGAGCUCCUGCUGCAUGGUGGGGGUUGGAAAGUUUCGGCGGUUGGGGAUGGACUCGCGGCUUAUCAGCUUGUUGGUGGGGUAGUGGCUUACCAAGGCUUUGACGGGUAGCCGGCCUGAGAGGGUGACCGGCCACAUUGGGACUGAGAUACGGCCCAGACUCCUACGGGAGGCAGCAGUGGGGAAUAUUGCACAAUGGGCGGAAGCCUGAUGCAGCAACGCCGCGUGCGGGAUGACGGCCUUCGGGUUGUAAACCGCUUUCGCCUGUGACGAAGCGUGAGUGACGGUAAUGGGUAAAGAAGCACCGGCUAACUACGUG
rnacentral:rRNA from 1 species